UAAAAUAAAGCGAUUUAUUGCAAUCAGUUUCGACCUGAUACUAGAAAAAAUAUUCUAUUUUUU
rnacentral:tRNA from 1 species